rnacentral:rRNA from 1 species
UACAGAGGUGGCAAGCGUUGUUCGGAAUUACUGGGCGUAAAGGGCGCGUAGGCGGCCUUCUAAGUCAGACGUGAAAUCCCCCGGCUUAACCUGGGAACUGCGUCUGAUACUGGGAGGCUAGAGUGCGGGAGAGGGAUGCGGAAUUCCAGGUGUAGCGGUGAAAUGCGUAGAUAUCUGGAGUAACACCGGUGGCGAAGGCGGCAUCCUGGACCGACACUGACGCUGAGGCGCGAAAGCUAGGGUAGCAAACGGG